rnacentral:lncRNA from 1 species
GGACCACGGGGCACCCUUCACCAGCCACCUGCCCCGAGGCUCACCUGUGACUACCAGGGAGCCCACGCCACGCCUUCAGGAAGGCAGCCUCCUCUCCAGCAAGGCGUCCCAGGACCGGAAGCUGACCUCGACACCCCGGGAGAUUGCCAAGUCCCCACAUAGCACUGUGCCCGAGCACCACCCCCACCCCAUCUCCCCCUACGAGCACCUGCUCCGGGGUGUGACUGGUGUGGACCUGUACCGUGGCCACAUCCCAUUGGCCUUUGACCCCACCUCCAUACCCCGAGGGAUCCCUCUGGAAGCAGCCGCAGCCUACUACCUGCCCCGGCACUUGGCCCCCAGCCCCACCUACCCACACCUGUACCCGCCUUACCUCAUCCGCGGCUACCCUGACACCGCGGCCCUGGAGAACCGCCAG